UGGGGAAUAUUGGACAAUGGGGGCAACCCUGAUCCAGCAAUACCGCGUGAGUGAAGAAGGCCUUCGGGUUGUAAAGCUCUUUUACCGGGGAAGAUAAUGACGGUACCCGGGGAAUAAGCUCCGGCUAACUUCGUGCCAGCAGCCGCGGUAAUACGAAGGGAGCUAGCGUUGUUCGGAAUUACUGGGCGUAAAGAGCGCGUAGGCGGCUAUGUAAGUCAGAUGUGAAAGCCCCGGGCUCAACCUGGGAACUGCAUUUGAUACUGCAAGGCUAGAGAUCGAGAGAGGAAAGUGGAAUUACGAGUGUAGAAGUGAAAUUCGUAGAUAUUCGUAGGAACACCAGUGGCGAAGGCGACUUUCUGGCUCGAUACUGACGCUAAAGCGCGAAAGCGUGGGGAGCAAACAGG
rnacentral:rRNA from 1 species